rnacentral:rRNA from 1 species
GUGGGGAAUAUUGCGCAAUGGGGGAAACCCUGACGCAGCGACGCCGCGUGAGCGAAGAAGGCCUUCGGGUUGUAAAGCUCUGUUGUAAGGGACGAAAGUGUAGGGGAGUAACUGCCCCUAGGUUGACGGUACCUUACCAGCAAGCCCCGGCUAACUACGUGCCAGCAGCCGCGGUAAGACGUAGGGGGCGAGCGUUGUCCGGAAUUACUGGGCGUAAAGAGCACGUAGGCGGGUAUUUAAGUCAGGUGUGAAAGACCGCAGCUCAACUGCGGGGUUGCACUUGAAACUGAAUAUCUUGAGGGCAGGAGAGGUCAGUGGAAUUCCUGGUGUAGCGGUGAAAUGCGUAGAUAUCAGGAGGAACACCAGUGGCGAAGGCGACUGACUGGACUGACCCUGACGCUGAGGUGCGAAAGCGUGGGUAGCAAACAGGAUUAGAAACCCUAGUAGUCC